rnacentral:rRNA from 1 species
CCCUAGGUAUCAGAAGUGCGAAUGCUGACAUGAGUAGCGAUAAUGGGGGUGAAAAGCCUCCACGCCGUAAGCCCAAGGUUUCCUGUUCAACGUUCAUCGGAGCAGGGUGAGUCGGCCCCUAAGGCGAGGCAGAGAUGCGUAGCUGAUGGGAAGCAGGUUAAUAUUCCUGCACCGUCGUUAGAUGCGAUGGGGGGACGGAUCGCGGAAGGUUGUCCGGGUGUUGGAAGUCCCGGUAUCUGUAUCAGAGAAGGCUGUUAGGCAAAUCCGGCAGCGUAAUUCAAGGGUAUGGGUCGAGCGAACUUGUUCGCGAAGCAAUCGGAAGUGGUUCCAAGAAAAGCCUCUAAGCUUCAGUCUAACGAGACCGUACCGCAAACCGACACAGGUGGGCGAGAUGAGUAUUCUAAGGCGCUUGAGAGAACUCGGGAGAAGGAACUCGGCAAAUUUGUACCGUAACUUCGGGAUAAGGUACGCCCCGGUAGUUUGACUGGCCUGCGCCAGGAGGACGAAAGGGCUGCAAUAAAAAGGUGGCUGCGACUGUUUAAUAAAAACACAGCACUAUGCAAACACGAAAGUGGACGUAUAUGGUGUGACUCCUGCCCGGUGCUGGAAGAUUAAAUGAUGGGGUGCAAGCUCUUGAUUGAAGUCCCAGUAAACGGCGGCCGUAACAAUAACGGUCCUAAGGUAGCGAAAUUCCUUGUCGGGUAAGUUCCGACCUGCACGAAUGGAGUAACGAUGGCCACACUGUCUCCUCCCGAGACUCAGCGAAGUUGAAAUGUUUGUGAUGAUGCAAUCUACCCGCGGCUAGACGGAAAGACCCCAUGAACCUUUACUGUAGCUUUGCAUUGAAUUUUGAACCAAUCUGUGUAGGAUAGGUGGGAGGCUUUGAAGCGUGAACGCUAGUUUGCGUGGAGCCAACCUUGAAAUACCACCCUGGUUUGUUUGAGAUUCUAACCUUGGACCGUUAUCCGGUUCGGGGACAGUGCAUGGUGGGCAGUUUGACUGGGGCGGUCUCCUCCUAAAGUGUAACGGAGGAGUUCGAAGGUACGCUAGGUACGGUCGGACAUCGUGCUAAUAGUGCAAUGGCAUAAGCGUGCUUAACUGCGAGACUGACAAGUCGAGCAGGUACGAAAGUAGGACAUAGUGAUCCGGUGGUUCUGUAUGGAAGGGCCAUCGCUCAACGGAUAAAAGGUACUCUGGGGAUAACAGGCUGAUUCCUCCCAAGAGUUCAUAUCGACGGGGGAGUUUGGCACCUCGAUGUCGGCUCAUCACAUCCUGGGGCUGUAGCCGGUCCCAAGGGUAUGGCUGUUCGCCAUUUAAAGUGGUACGUGAGCUGGGUUUAAACC